rnacentral:SRP_RNA from 1 species
ACUAAUGUCAAGUUAGACAUCUAUAAUUCUAUCUGCUAAGGAAGCUGAGGCUGGUGGAUGUCUUGAACUUGGCUGCUCUGCAGUGACUAAAACCAAUUAGGUGUCUGCAAUAAAUUGGGCAAAAAUAUGGUGAGCUCCUUGAGUGAGAGGCUACUAGAUUGCCUAAGAAGGGACUAACUGACUCAGGUUAGAAAUGGAGUAGGUCAAAGCUGCUAUGCUGAUCAAUAGGGAGAUCAGGCCUGUGAGUAGCCCUGGAAUUUCUAGCCUAGUUGAGAUGGGGAGAACUGGUUUUU